GAGCUUACAAACACCUUCCCAAAGAGUGAGUUAGAGUUUUACGAGUGAUUUUUGAACGAAAAAGUGUUGGGCCGAAAUUUGUGAAGGGAAAACUUGUUUAGAGGAAAGGAGCUUGAGUGAUUAGGUAUGGGUUCUUGAAGAAGAAGAACAAGCUUGAAGAAUAUAUUCUCAAGGGCACUCCAAAUUGGGUAUGAACUUCAAAGAGUGAGACAUAUUCUUUAACCCUUUUCUUUAUUAUGUUGGUUUUGGUGAGUAAUUUGGAAGAACCCCAAAUUUUAACUUCUAAUGUUCAUACAUAAUUUGGGGGAAAUAAAAAUUAUGAAUAAGGGUGAGAAAUAGAGGUCCAUUUGACAUAUAAAAUGUUGGAAAUUAUGAGAAAUUGAUGAUAACAAUUGGGUUCCAAGGCCAUGUAAGUUUCGGCCAAAAAGGGAGGAUAAAGAGGGGACUUCUCCAAUUUAAUCUUUAUUGCUUACAUGUUGAAAAGAAUAGGUAUUUGAUCAUUUUACAUUUUAAAUGUAUGCUGAAAUUUAUUGUAUAAGACAAGUACAUUUAGAAAUUCUUGUGAGCAUAUAUGUUAAAUGUUAAAUUAAGCAAUGAUUAUGUGAGAAAUGUUUAUAGCUUGCAUUGAUUGUUAGGAAAGUGUUUCCAUGUAAAUUCUUACUUAUGUCAUGAAUGUAUGUUGAAGUCAAUGGUUAUAAAACAAAUUAAAAAGAAUGAAAAAGGGAAACUUGAGGUGUAAGAAUGUUAUAGUGAUAAAUUGGUUGUUAAAUAUACAAAUUCAAAACAGGAUAGUUUCGUUGGUCAGGACUCCCACUAAUAUUAGACAUCGAAGAUGAAGAAAUUUGCCACACAUUUUCAUAUAAAAGUUAUAGAUAAAUGAAUUAGCUAACGUUUGAAAUUUAUCUUGUCUCAAUUGGAGUUAUAGAACUUCAGAAACAGGUAAAACACCGUUGAAAGGUCAAACUGCUCGUAACAGGGCAGUUUCGUUGGUCAGAACUCCCACUAAUAUUAUACAUCAAAGUUGAAGGAAUUUGCCACACAUUUUCAUAUAACGGUUGUAUAGAAAUGAAUUGGCUAACUUUCGGCACUGGUAUUACCCCCAUUGGAGUUAUAGAACUCCAUAUAUAGGCAAAAUACCGAGAGGAGAUCAGGCUGGAACUUACUGGAUAGAUUUGUUUUCUAACUUCUAGAUUGGUUUGGUAUUUGAUAUUGACAGAUUAUGAUGCAUAUUCCUUUAUGAAAGUUAUAGAUAAAUGUGUUACCUUUUAAUUGACAUAAAUUGUGCUUUAUUUGGAGUUAUAGAACUCUAUAUAUGAGCAAAAUACUGAGAGGAGGUCAGGCUGAAACCUAUUAGACAGAGUUGUUGUCUAACUUCUAGUUUGGUUUGGGAUUUUAUAUUGAUGGAUUAUGAUGCAUGAUCCUUCAUAAGAUUGUAGAUAAAUGUGUUACCUUUCUGUUGACACAAAUGUUUGCUUUAUUUGGAGUUAUAAGUCAUAGCACACCUAAUGACGUUGACGCAAAACUGAGUCAUAAGACACUAAAAAUUAUUAAUGAAAAAUAGAGUUGUUUGAACAUUAAAUGUUAGUGUAAAUGAAUGCUAAUUUAAUGAAAUGAAGUGAUAAAUAAAAAGAGUUUAUCCAUGAACUUGUUUUCGAAACUAAUUGGGCAUGUGAAAUAAUAGAUGUGAUGAAAGAAUCAGAAAAGGGGUUUGAGUGUUGAUUCAAGAUGUUCUACUGGAAUGUAGGAGAAGCAUACAGAGUGGGACCCGACUUCUCAAGUGCAAGUAUAACAGGAGUUCAAGGUAAGGGUCGCCCCCUUACUUCUUUAAAUUGUUUAAAUUCUUGUAAUGCUAGUAUGUGAUAGACAUUAUGCGAAUUUUGUACUACUGUGUAUCAUGAGAAAUAUUACUAUGUGAACAUUGCCUACGAGCAAUAUAAAUAUUGUUGCGUAAAACUUACCAACAAGUAGGAGAAAUAUUAUUAUUGUGUGAAUGUUGCCAAUGAGUAAGAAAUGUUAUUACAAUGUGAAUGUUGCCUACGGGUAGGGAAACAAAUACUAAUUAUAUGUGAAUGUUGCUUACAAGCAGGAGAAAUAAUAUUAUUAUAUGAAUAUGUCCACCCGGUGAAUAUGACUAAAGAAAGGAAAGAUACAAUGAAACGGACAUGGAUUUGAAAUCUAAAUUUUGGUUGUAGACUCCGGGAUUUGGAGUUUGGAUAUGGUCUAUAUUAUGUAUAUAAAGAGGAAAGAAGAAGGAAAAAAAACAGAAGAAGAAGAAAGAAAACGAUCGCCUAUGGACUUGAUUAGGCGACCUCGAAUAGGGGCGGCUAAUGAUGUUAACAAAUAUUGUUAACAUCGGCAUGACCUUGAUGGAAAUAUAAUGAAUAUCACGAAUAGUUAAUGAUACUGACGAAUAAUGUUUGUAUCGGCAAGUUCAUAAUAACUUGAUUAACUUCCUAAGGAGGAAGUUAAUGGUGUCAAGGGAACUUGGCAUCAGCAUUUCCGAAAACAUCUCCAAGUGAUGGAGAGUAAUUAAUUGACUAUUUCGGGUUGGAAAUAGCUCAAUGGCAUCGAUCAAUUAAGUUGGUGCCGACAUUGCUAAGGAAUUGAUUAGUCUAUCCGGGUAAGGGUGACUAAUGACACUAAUAGAAGUUAUUAGUGUCGAUAGCGACUGCCUCAGAAUUUGGGGCGAAUAAGAAAAAGGGUAAAUCAGACAAAAGUUGAUGUGUGAUAAUCGAAAAGAAAACCAUAAGUAGGUUGUGGAAGGAUAAGCAUUAAAUGUAGUAAAGGAUCUUUUUUUGCGGAUCAACUAUGAUUAUGCCCUAUCAAGUGGGUACAUAUAUGCGUAGUUACAUGUGGUUGUGACCCUUCAUUAUCUGGUUGUAUUUUAUUUAUUUAAUGUAAUUAUUAUCUUAUUUUGAUGUUGCAGGUCUUUCUCAUUCCCGUCAGGAGUAGUGUCCUAGAUGUCUAGUUCUUUUGUAUGAAUUAGGGA
rnacentral:lncRNA from 1 species